UACGUAGGGUGCAAGCGUUGUCCGGAAUUAUUGGGCGUAAAGAGCUCGUAGGCGGCCUGUCGCGUCGGCUGUGAAAACCCGGGGACUCAACCCCGGGCCUGCAGCCGAUACGGGCAAGCUAGAAUUCGGUAGGGGAGACUGGAAUUCCUGGUGUAGCGGUGAAAUGCGCAGAUAUCAAGAGGAACACCAGUGGCGAAGGCGAGUCCCUGGACAACUUCUGACGCUGAGACGCGAAAGCUAGGGGAGCGAACAGG
rnacentral:rRNA from 1 species